rfam:Ictidomys tridecemlineatus contig031644, whole genome shotgun sequence.
UGGGUUGUAGCUCAGUGGUAGGGCACUCACCUAGCAUGUGUGAGGCCCUGGGUUUGAUCCUCAGCACCACAU